GCAGGAUAGCUCAGUUGGUAAGAGCAUGAGACUCUCAAUCUCAUGGUCUUUGGGUCGAGCCCCAUGUUGGGCA